UCUCGGCUUAUCACCGGCAGUCCCCCUAGAGUGCCCAACCAAAUGAUGGCAACUAGGGGCGAGGGUUGCGCUCGUUGCGGGACUUAACCCAACAUCUCACGACACGAGCUGACGACAGCCAUGCAGCACCUGUGUUCCGGCCAGCCGAACUGAAGGAUCCUGUCUCCAGGAUCCAUACCGGACAUGUCAAAGGCUGGUAAGG
rnacentral:misc_RNA from 1 species